UCCAGCUGUUUUGGGACUACAAUUCCCAUCAUCCCUGACCACUGGUCCUGUUAGCUAGGGGUGAUGGGAGUUGUAGUCCCAAAAGAGCUGGA